rfam:Octopus bimaculoides Scaffold77818_contig_1, whole genome shotgun sequence.
GUCUCUGUGGCGCAAUCGGUUAGCGCGUUCGGCUGUUAACCGAAAGGU